UCCAAUAGAUUUCAUCUCCCUUAACUCCACAAAUAAAUUCCUCCAAAUAUUUCCAUCCAAUUUCCCUUAGUUUACAUUUCCUUGAAUCCCAUUUAAAUUCCUUGUCCAAGUUCAAAAAGUCCACAAACAUUCAUUCUCUAAAUUUCAUCUCCUUUGAAUUCUAUUCAAAACCCUCCACACAAAUUAUCAAAGCUUCCUACUCAUUUUGGGCCGAGGUUCCUUCAUCUGGCCCAGUCAGCAUAAGUCUAUAUUUUCUCCCUCCUCCUUCCUGUGGGCAUGCUGCCGCCGCCGCCGCCGCCCAGCCAGUCCGACGCCGCCACCUUGCCGCGCUGCCCACGCCGUCGAUUGCCGCCACGCCACCACAACGCUGCUACACGUCGCCGCCACUGCCGAAACCGGGGGCCCUCGUGUCGCCUCCACAGCCACCGCCGCCAGCGCCAUUCCGCGGCCGCCGCUGCUCAGCCGCCAUCGCCUGCCGCUUUGCCGCCGUCGCCCGCCGAUUCGCCGCCGCCGCACGACGCCGUGCCGUGUCACCAGCCACGCGCUGCCGUAAGCCGACGCCGAUUACCGAGCCGCCCCUUUGCCGCAAAUCAGAAGCCGACGCCCGGCGCCGCCUCUCUCCAUCCCAUCCCCGACGCCGCCUCAUGCCGUCGUCGUCUUCCCUUUUGCAACCGACCUCGUCGCCUAUAAAAGCCGACGAGCACCCUCCUCUCCCCAUCUAAGCUCAAUGAGCUCCCUCUCUCUCUCUUUCUCCCCCUCUCUCCAAUCCUCCCGGCCACCGUCGCCUUUGCCCUCCACCGCCGACCGCAGUUCUACUCCUAGUGCCGUCUCCGGCCGUCAUCGCCGUCGAGCUCCGGCCACCCUUGCCGUGCCUCCCUUGCCGCGCUCUCCCUCCCUCUCCUCUGUGCCAGUCGAAGCAAGAAGGGGAGGUAGAAGAGGAGGUAAAUGGAGACACUGACAGUGGGCCCCACCUUUCAUAAAACUGUACAGCAAGUUUUAUCAGCAUCCAUGGAGCUGAUGUGGACCCAGAUGGCUACGCUGAAGCUGCAGGAAAUCUUAAGGCGCAAGGCAAGACAUAACUAAAAUUUUGAUCAUAUAGAAACCUUGAUAUAAUCUUCAUAUUUAAAUUUGAUGCAUGAUAUUUACUCUUUUAACAUAUCAUGGGUAGAUGUUAUACUUCAGAAUAACAUUAUGGUAAUUAUUAAUGCUUUCAAGCAUUAUUGCAUGAGACUAUAGAAAGAAGCAUUGGUUAUCAUUUUAUGUGAUUUACUAUUACAAACAAUUUUAUAAUCUAAGGAAUCUGGUUAAAAUGGGAAUUUAUGAGUAGAGAUUGUGAAUAUUGAGGAUUAUGAAUGUUGAUAUAUGAUGAAGUUUGUUUGUGUGGGGAGGUUGGAAAGUUUUAGGUGGUUUAACUGGAUAUAAUUACCCCCUUAUACCAUGGAAAUGACAUAAUUUGCGUCCAUCCACACGAUCAAGGAAUUGGACUUAGCCUAGUACAUUGUCCCACUAUAUGAAAGACUGUUGGUUGGCUCACUAGAAGCAGGAUUGGCGUGAAUGCAUGUGUAAGGAGGUUGGGGGCAUGGUUCACAACGGUAGAACCCAUGAAAGCAGCGACCAUGUAGCCUUGCCUAGGCCUGGCAAGUGUCCGACUGCUAGGACGGAUCAAUAUCCCACUCGUGCAGUAACUAGUAGUAAGUGGGACCUUCGAACAGCUCUGUUGUUCUCAGGCUAGCUAGCUGUGGGCAUCGUGUGGGUAAAGCUGAACAGUCUCUGCAGAGGUGAAUUAAAUCAUUCGAAUGUGCCGUACUCCCGGUUCUGGAGUUGUGUCAUCAGGGUGAUUCCUACUCCUGAAGUAUAAGUAGUUUUAAAAAUUAAAUGUUGAAGAUAAAGAUGACUUAUGAUUUUUUAUUACUUCUUUACUUUAUCAUUGUUUUAUCUAUUCAUAUCUAUUUACACUUAAUUAUUUAUAAUAUGUUUUGCUGAGUACAUAAGUACUCACCCUUGCAUAAUUUGACAUAUAGUAAAGCUAACACGAAGACUGGAAGGAAGCAAGAUCUACGGCAACAACAAGUUUGUCUAGGCUAGUCUACACUCGAGCUUUUGCCUGUGGAGUUCUUCGGAGUUUAUUGGUUGUAGUUUAAUAAUUUAGAGGUUUGGAUUUUUCUUGUAUUUUCAAAUAAGGAUAUUUUCGUUUGGAUCUUUUCACCCUUUAACAGUUGUAUAAUUAUUUUGUACUUCCUCUGUUUCACAAUGUAAGACUUCCUAGCAUUGCCCACAUUCAUUUAGAUGGUAAUGAAUCUAGAUAUAUGUAUGUGUUUAGAUCCAUUAACAUCUAUAUUUAUGUGGACAAUGCCAGAAAGUCUUACAUUGUGAAACGGAGGAAGUAUGAACAAAUAUGUGUAAAUAAUCGAAAGCUGUUCUGUAUAUCAAUUUGUGCGUGAUCGAAAUCCUGGACGAUCACGAGUGGAUUUUUGGG